CUGUUCAUUGUCAUGACAAUUGUGUGUCAUCCUGAGUAACCUUAUUCCUGCCAUCAAUGCCCUCAAUUAUAAUUCAAAACAAGACCACUCUGCACCAAGGCGGCGUAUGUCCUUGAAACAGGACCACUCUGCCACCAAGGCCUCUUUCAUAAUUCAAAACAAGACCACUCUGCAUGCAAGGCCACUUUUAUAUUGAAAGAAGACCAUUCUGCC
rnacentral:lncRNA from 1 species